rnacentral:rRNA from 1 species
AUUGAACGCUGGCGGCAGGCCUAACACAUGCAAGUCGAACGGUAGCACAGAGAGCUUGCUCUCGGGUGACGAGUGGCGGACGGGUGAGUAAUGUCUGGGAAACUGCCCGAUGGAGGGAGAUAACUACUGGAAACGGUAGCCAAUACCGCAUUACGUCGCAAGUCCAAAGUGGGGAAACUUCGGGCCUCACAGCACCGUAUGUGCCCAAAUGGGAAUAGCUAGUAGGUGGGGUAUUGGCCCACCUAGGCGACGAUCCGUAGCUGGUCUGAGAGGAUGACCAGCCACACUGGAACUGAGACACGGUCCAGACUCCUACGGGAGGCAGCAGUGGGGAAUAUUGCACAAUGGGCGCAAGCCUGAUGCAGCCAUGCCGCGUGUAUGAAGAAGGCCUUCGGGUUGUAAAGUACUUUCAGCGGGGAGGAAGGCGGUGAAGUUAAUAACUUCACCGAUUGACGUUACCCGCAGAAGAAGCACCGGCUAACUCCGUGCCAGCCGCCGCAGUAA